UACGGGGGGUGCAAACGUUGCUCGGAAUUAUUGGGCGUAAAGCGCACGUAGGCGGUCCUGUAAGUCGGGUGUGAAAGCCCGGGGCUUAACCCCGGAAGUGCACUCGAAACUGCAAGGCUUGAGUAUGGAAGAGGGUCUCGGAAUUCCCGGUGUAGAGGUGAAAUUCGUAGAUAUCAGGAGGAACACCUGCGGUGUAGACGGCUUACUGGACCAUAACUGACGCUGAGGCACGAAAGCGUGGGUAGCAAACAGG
rnacentral:rRNA from 1 species